rnacentral:rRNA from 1 species
UGGGGAAUUUUGGACAAUGGGGGAAACCCUGAUCCAGCCAUCCCGCGUGUGCGAUGAAGGCCUUCGGGUUGUAAAGCACUUUUGGCAGGAAAGAAACGUCGCGGGUUAAUACCCCGCGAAACUGACGGUACCUGCAGAAUAAGCACCGGCUAACUACGUGCCAGCAGCCGCGGUAAUACGUAGGGUGCAAGCGUUAAUCGGAAUUACUGGGCGUAAAGCGUGCGCAGGCGGUUCGGAAAGAAAGAUGUGAAAUCCCAGAGCUUAACUUUGGAACUGCAUUUUUUAACUACCGGGCUAGAGUGUGUCAGAGGGAGGUGGAAUUCCGCGUGUAGCAGUGAAAUGCGUAGAUAUGCGGAGGAACACCGAUGGCGAAGGCAGCCUCCUGGGAUAACACUGACGCUCAUGCACGAAAAGCGUGGGGAGCAAACAGGAUUAGAUACCCUGGUUAGUCCACGCCCUAAACGAUGUCAACUAGCUGUUGGGGCCUUCGGGCCUUGGUAGCG